ACGGCAGCACGGGAGCAAUCCUGGUGGCGAGUGGCGAACGGGUGAGUAAUGUAUCGGAACGUACCUUUCAGUGGGGGAUAACGUAGCGAAAGUUACGCUAAUACCGCAUAUUCUGUGAGCAGGAAAGCAGGGGAUCGCAAGACCUUGCGCUGAUUGAGCGGCCGAUAUCAGAUUAGCUAGUUGGUGAGGUAAAGGCUCACCAAGGCGACGAUCUGUAGCGGGUCUGAGAGGAUGAUCCGCCACACUGGAACUGAGACACGGUCCAGACUCCUACGGGAGGCAGCAGUGGGGAAUUUUGGACAAUGGGGGCAACCCUGAUCCAGCCAUGCCGCGUGAGUGAAGAAGGCCUUCGGGUUGUAAAGCUCUUUCAGCCGGGAAGAAAUCACAUGGGUUAAUACCCUGUGUGGAUGACGGUACCGGAAUAAGAAGCACCGGCUAACUACGUGCCAGCAGCCGCGGUAAUACGUAGGGUGCGAGCGUUAAUCGGAAUUACUGGGCGUAAAGCGUGCGCAGGCGGUUUGUUAAGAUAGGCGUGAAAUCCCCGGGCUCAACCUGGGAAUUGCGAUGGAGACUGCAAGGCUAGAGUUUGGCAGAGGGGGGUGGAAUUCCACGUGUAGCAGUGAAAUGCGUAGAGAUGUGGAGGAACACCGAUGGCGAAGGCAGCCCCCUGGGCCAAUACUGACGCUCAUGCACGAAAGCGUGGGUAGCAAACAGGAUUAGAUACCCUGGUAGUCCACGCCCUAAACGAUGUCUACUAGUUGUCGGGUCUUAAUUGACUUGGUAACGCAGCUAACGCGU
rnacentral:rRNA from 1 species